rnacentral:piRNA from 1 species
UGAUUUACUCUCUGACAUACUGGUGC